rnacentral:rRNA from 1 species
GACGAACGCUGGCGGCGUGCUUAACACAUGCAAGUCGAACGGAAAGGCCCUGCUUUUGUGGGGUGCUCGAGUGGCGAACGGGUGAGUAACACGUGAGUAACCUGCCCUUGACUUUGGGAUAACUUCAGGAAACUGGGGCUAAUACCGGAUAGGAGCUCCUGCUGCAUGGUGGGGGUUGGAAAGUUUCGGCGGUUGGGGAUGGACUCGCGGCUUAUCAGCUUGUUGGUGGGGUAGUGGCUUACCAAGGCUUUGACGGGUAGCCGGCCUGAGAGGGUGACCGGCCACAUUGGGACUGAGAUACGGCCCCGACUCCUUCGGGAGGCAGCAGUGGGGGAUAUUGGCCCAUGGGCGGAAGCCUGAUGCAGCAACGCCGCGUGCGGGAUGACGGCCUUCGGGUUGUAAACCGCUUUCGCCUGUGACGAAGCGUGAGGGACGGUAAUGGGUAAAGAAGCACCGGCUAACUAAGUU